rnacentral:rRNA from 1 species
GGCUUCUAGCGCGAGGACUCGGGGCCAACCUCCCACCCGUGUUGCCCGAACCUAUGUUGCCUCGGCGGGCCCCGCGCCCGCCGACGGCCCCCCUGAACGCUGUCUGAAGUUGCAGUCUGAGACCUAUAACGAAAUUAGUUAAAACUUUCAACAACGGAUCUCUUGGUUCCGGCAUCGAUGAAGAACGCAGCGAAAUGCGAUAACUAAUGUGAAUUGCAGAAUUCAGUGAAUCAUCGAGUCUUUGAACGCACAUUGCGCCCUCUGGUAUUCCGGAGGGCAUGCCUGUCCGAGCGUCAUUGCUGCCCUCAAGCCCGGCUUGUGUGUUGGGCCCCGUCCCCCCCGCCGGGGGGACGGGCCCGAAAGGCAGCGGCGGCACCGCGUCCGGUCCUCGAGCGUAUGGGGCUUCGUCACCCGCUCUAGUAGGCCCGGCCGGCGCCAGCCGACCCCCAACCUUUAAUUAUCUCAGGUUGACCUCGGAUCAGGUAGGGAUACCCGCUGAACUUAAGCAUAUCAAAAGGCGGAGGA